rnacentral:lncRNA from 1 species
GUAACAUCGCCCACUGCCUCGCUAAUUGGAACCUAAUGGAUCACACACCACAUAAGGAUGUUAGUGAAGAAAUUAUAUGAAAUGGAUAAGCAAUUAAAUGGUUUAAUUGAAGAAUGGUCAAGAUUAAUUAAUUAGUUAAUUAAUUAUACGAAAGGUUCGUAUUGGGCUUUUAAGUUAGUUUGGGCUUCGGGGUCCAAAAUUGUUUUGGUCCACUAGGCCCAUUAUGUUUAAGUUGUAUGACAACUAAAACAAAUAUGGGUAUUUAGCCCAAUAACAAAAGGAGGCCGGCCAUGUCAAGGGUAGUGGGAAUUUAUGCUUAAUUGCAAGUUUGCCACUAACCUAAGAGAUGAAGUAUAAAGUCAUCUUUAUAGCAUUGUUUCUCAUUAGGGUUUUCUAAUAGAAAUUGGGUGAAACAUUUUCUCUCAUUUUCUACAUAGAGGCCGGCCA